rnacentral:lncRNA from 1 species
GGGCCAUCAGAUCACGCCGGCCACGCGGAGCGGUGACACGUCAGCUAUUCACUCCUCGGACCAUGGCCCUGCGCC